CACCGGGCUGGGCUGUCACCUCCAUGGCCACGCCCCCUGCAGUGGCCACCAGGACUUUGUCACCUCCUGGGGACGCUGGGACAGAGGUCACCGUGGUGGUGGCAUCUUCAAUGACGUCAUUGAGGUGUCCCAAAGUGUCCCUGGGGUCACCGGUGACACCGGGCUGGGCUGUCCCCUCCAUGGCCAGGUCCCCACUGGUGGCCACCAGGACUUUGUCACCUCCUGGGGACGUGGUCACAGCUCCAGCUGGGGUGGUGGCAUCUCCAGUGACAUCGUUGAGGUGUCCCAAAGUGUCCCUGGGGUCACUGGUGGCACUCGGGUCUUCGGUCACCUCCAUGGCCACGUCCCCACCAGAGGCCACCAGGGAUUUGUCACUUCCUGGGGACGUGGUCACAGCUCCAACCAUCGUGGUGGCAUCUCCGGGGGCUUCGGGGACACGUCCCAAAGUGUCCCAGGAGCAGUUGGUGGCACCUGGGGCAUCGGUCACCUCCAUGGCCACGCCCCCUGCAGUGGCCACCAGGACUUUGUCACCUCCUGGGGAUGCUGGGACAGAGGUCACCACGGUGGUGGCAUCUUCAAUGACGUCAUUGAGGUGUCCCAAAGUGUCCCUGGGGUCACCGGUGGCACUCGGGUUUUUGGUCACCUCCAUGGCCACGCCCCCUGCGGUGGCCACCAGGACUUUGUCACUUCCUGGGGGCGUGGUCACUGCUCCAACCAUGGUGGUGGCAUCUCCAGGGACAUCGGGGACACGUCCCAAAGUGUCCCAGGAGCAGUUGGUGGCACCGGGCUGGGCUGUCCCCUCCAUGGCCACGCCCCCACCAGGGGCCACCAGGACUUUGUCACCUCCUGGGGACGUGGUCACUGCUCCAACCAUGGUGGUGGCAUCUCCGGUGACGUCAUUGAGGUGUCCCAAAGUGUCCCUGGGGUCAUCGGUGACACCGGGCUGGGCUGUCCCCUCCAUGGCCAGGUCUCCACUGGUGGCCACCAGGACUUUGUCACCUCCUGGGGACGCUGGGACAGAGGUCACCACGGUGGUGGCAUCUUCAAUGACGUCAUUGAGAUGUCCCAAAGUGUCCCCAAGGCCACCGCUGCCCCCCGGUCCCUCUGUCCCCUCCAUGGCCACGCCCCCCGCGGUGGCCACCAGGGCUUUGUCACCUCCUGGUGUCGCUGUCCCCGAGGUCACGGCGUUGGUGGCACCUCCGCUGACGUCACUCAGGUGUCCCUCGGUGUCCCCAAGGCCCCCCUGUCCCUCCAUGGCCCCGCCCCUUCCGGUUCCCGCCGCGGUGACGUCAUC
rnacentral:lncRNA from 1 species